AUGUGUUUCUAUAUAUUAAAAAUACACAGUCUCCAUAAACAAUAAUGUUUCUUACAAUGUUCAGUACAUUUGAACACAGGACAAAUAUCCUACAACAACCCAUACACCAAUAGCGCAUCCAGUAAUCUUAUGUUUUCGUCGUCCAGGAUCCAAUCAACUACAUAUUGCUUUCUAAAAGCAAGCAAUUCCUCCUGAAAUGAAAACAUUGAUAUUGUCAGAUCAACCCAAUCGUAAAACAAUAAUGAACAUUAGGGUUCACAACACACAAAAACCUAAGAUAAAAAAUAAUUAACUAUGGUUCCACCCAAAACAAGAAAUAAAGCCCACCCAAAACAAGAAACAGAGCCACAUAGCAAAACACACCCAAAAGGCCAAACGCGAAAGAAAACUUUAAAGGGAACACACCCACAACGCCAAACGCACCCAAAACGCAAAAGAAAACUUAUCGGUACAGAGUCAAUGCAAAAGACCACUUUUCCUUGAGAUGACGCCUUUCGAUAAACAAAGCCACCCGAAUGGAGAGACGAAGGAUGCUCAGAAUGGGAGAGACGCGAAUGGGACAGGCGAAUGGAGAGAGGCCGAAUGGGAGAGGAGAAUGGAGACAGGGCGAAUGGGAGAGAUGCGAAUGGGAGAAUGAGAGAGAAGAACAAUGCUCAGAACGAAAUUGAAAGAAGAUGAAAAAUGAAAUUGCCAAAUUCAAUUUUCAUACCAUCAGAUUGCCAAUUCUACCCUUCUGUGCUUUUUCAAAUGGAAUAUUUUAAUGUAUUUCAGUCAUCCAAUACAAAUUUGACACGUCAACCAGUGUCAAAUUUGUGUCAAAAGAUGGUGUUAAACAAACAUUUU
rnacentral:lncRNA from 1 species